ACACCACUGGAAAGAAAAUGAGGGACACAAGAGAAGCCCAGCACGUGUACUGCAAGGACCAUGGACACAGGAAAUGUGUGCAGACAGCCACAGCUCUCGGGCUCACAACAAAAGAAAGCAGAAGUGUUUCUUUGUUUCUGCCAUUCUGCUUGACCACUCCAGUGCAGGAUGGGGUGACCAGGCCAAGGACUUACUUCAAACCUCUCCUGCUCCAUCCUGUGGUGAUCCUCAAGCUGCUGCUCCAGGAUUAAUGCAUCCCUCUGGGCUCGAGAGACAGAACAAGCAACACCUGUCCUUACCAGAACCCUGCGGAUGGAUUUUUCACCCAAGAAGUUUCAGAUUUCCACCACAGAAACAUUCUCCUGGAUAAUGACAUUGCUGAGGACGUGAGCCCACACAGACCUCAUCUUGUGACAAGAGCCCAGCGCGACAUCCUUGAUCGAGUUCUGAGCAUGACUGCACAUGCUUCUGACAGUGGCCA
rnacentral:lncRNA from 1 species